GGGGAUUUAGCUCAGCGGUAGAGCACUUGCCUAGCAAGUGGAAGGCCCUGGGUUCGGUCCCCAGCUCCG
rnacentral:tRNA from 1 species